GAUGAACGCUGGCGGCGUGCCUAAUACAUGCAAGUCGAGCGAACGGACGAGAAGCUUGCUUCUCUGAUGUUAGCGGCGGACGGGUGAGUAACACGUGGAUAACCUACCUAUAAGACUGGGAUAACUUCGGGAAACCGGAGCUAAUACCGGAUAAUAUUUUGAACCGCAUGGUUCAAAAGUGAAAGACGGUCUUGCUGUCACUUAUAGAUGGAUCCGCGCUGCAUUAGAUAGUUGGUAAGGUAACGGCUUACCAAGGCAACGAUGCAUAGCCGACCUGAGAGGGUGAUCGGCCACACUGGAACUGAGACACGGUCCAGACUCCUACGGGAGGCGGCAGUAGGGAAUCUUCCGCAAUGGGCGAAAGCCUGACGGAGCAACGCCGCGUGAGUGAUGAAGGUCUUCGGAUCGUAAAACUCUGUUAUUAGGGAAGAACAUAUGUGUAAGUAACUGUGCACAUCUUGACGGUACCUAAUCAGAAAGCCACGGCUAACUACGUG
rnacentral:rRNA from 1 species